AAGUGCAUCAUGUCUAAUGGAGCACUGUAGUCAGGGGCAGAUUGAAAUGAAUUGACCGUCAUUAAUCAACUACAUGUACUCGCGUUGAUA